rnacentral:lncRNA from 1 species
GGAUUAGUCUAAUAGUUCUGAGAUUAUGCAAAUGCAUUUUCAGAAGAUCAUGUCCUUGUCUCAUGGCAACGGCAAAUGAUACUAUUUGAAAGUUGUGCUAAGAGAACCAAACAAUUUUGUCAAAUAAAAGAUUAAGCAACAUACACAGCACAUAAAAAUGGGAGCAAAAGUAGUGGUGUCCCUAUCAUGAUGUACAGAAAACAAGGAUGUAAAUGUCAGCAAAAGACCAGAGCAUCCAAAUUAACUGAGGGCAGAAAAAAAAAUGAAAAAACAACUUAAAUUAAUUUGUCAAGAUUCAAACGCAACAAAUGGGAGAAAAAGUUAUCCAAUAGUGAAGCAGGCAUUUCAAUUAACUUAAUAACAAGAGACCUAAAAGAAUUGCAGAAAAAUAAUAGUAUAAUAAGAUUCACAAAUAAACCGGUAGUCCAUGUAAAAGAGCCCAUCUAUUUAUGGUCAGGAUUUUGUUAUGUCACUUCAGUUGUGGAUAUGAUAAGAAUAAAAAAGGAACAGAGAUACUUUAGAACCCAACUACAAUUAAUAUAAGUUAUGACAUAAAUGCUUUAAGGCCUGUAGCAUCACGUGAAGAUUAAACUUAGGUGAGAUCAACUAAAUAAU